GUUUGAUCCUGGCUCAGAUUGAACGCUGGCGGCAGGCCUAACACCUUUAAGUCGAACGGUAGCACAGAGAGCUUGCUCUUGGGUGACUUGUGGCGGACGGGUGAGUAAUGUCUGGGAAACUGCCCGAUGGAGGGGGAUAACUACUGGAAACGGUAGCUAAUACCGCAUAACGUCUUCGGACCAAAGUGGGGGACCUUCGGGCCUCACACCAUCGGAUGUGCCCAGAUGGGAUUAGCUAGUAGGUGGGGUAACGGCUCACCUAGGCGACGAUCCCUAGCUGGUCUGAGAGGAUGACCAGCCACACUGGAACUGAGACACGGUCCAGACUCCUACGGGAGGCAGCAGUGGGGAAUAUUGCACAAUGGGCGCAAGCCUGAUGCAGCCAUGCCGCGUGUAUGAAGAAGGCCUUCGGGUUGUAAAGUACUUUCAGUGGGGAGGAAGGCGAAUAGGUUAAUAACCUUUUCGAUUGACGUUACCCGCACAAGAAGCACCGGCUAACUCCGUGCCAGCAGCCGCGGUAAUACCGAGGGUGCAAGCGUUAAUCGGAAUUACUGGGCGUAAAGCGCACGCACGCGGUCUGUCAAGUCGGAUGUGAAAUCCCCGGGCUCAACCUGGGAACUGCAUUCGAAACUGGCAGGCUAGAGUCUUGUAGAGGGGGGUAGAAUUCCAUGUGUAGCGGUGAAAUGCGUAGAGAUCUGGAGGAAUACCGGUGGCGAAUGCGGCCCCCUGGACAAAGACUGACGCUCAGGUGCGAAAGCGUGGGGAGCAAA
rnacentral:rRNA from 1 species